GGAGGGACCAGAGCAGCUGAAGAGUGGCAAAGCAGAAUCAGCACCUUUUCAAGAUGAAACCCUGGACUACAAGAGCCAUUCUCCUCUCGGUCCUGACAGUAUGGCUUCUGUCAGGGGCUGAUGCAAGGAGCCUACUAGAGGGUUCUGAAGAACUGGGAGAUGAUGAUUACCAGGACAACAAGAGAGAACUGGAUCUCAGCAACAC